CACGUAGGGGGCGAGCGUUGUCCGGAUUUAUUGGGCGUAAAGAGCUCGUAGGCGGCUCGGUAAGUCAGGUGUGAAACCUCCAGGCUCAACCUGGAGACGCCACCUGAUACUGCCGUGGCUAGAGUCCGGUAGAGGAGCGUAGAAUUCCUGGUGUAGCGGUGAAAUGCGCAGAUAUCAGGAGGAACACCCGUAGCGAAGGCGGCACUCUGGGCCGAUUCUGACACUGAGGAGCGAAAGCGUGGGGAGCGAACAGG
rnacentral:rRNA from 1 species